UGAGCAGGGGAAAGUUCAGUGUGGAAAUUGGGGCCUGUGGCCUUGAAUUGUAGUCUAGAGAUGUGCUGCCAACGGAGGUGCAUAUGUAAGCCUCUUGGAAAAGAGCAUCAAUGAGGGUGAGAGUCCUGCUUGUCACUUGCAGUCCCCCGUGCACGGUGUACUUUCCCAGAGUCACGUUCCUUGGGAUUGGAGCGCAAAGUGGGUGGUAAAUAUCAUCUAAAGCUAAAUAUUGGUUUGAGACCGAUAGCAAACAAGUACCAUGAGGGAAAGGUGAAAAGGACUUUGAAAAGAAAGUUAAAAGUGCCUGAAAUUGCUGAAAGGAAAGCGAAUGGGACCAGUGCUUCUUGGCAAGAUUGCUGUGCACGAAUGUGAUUGCCUGCUGCUGCAAUGCAAAUGUGGCAGUGGGUUUUGAUCUGGUUGUGCGCAGUGGUUCUUGCCUUGCCUGUCAAUGUCAAUGUGCAAUCGAGAAAAACAUGGAGGACAUGACAACUUGCCCUUGGGCGAGUGAAUGUUCUUUCCUGAACUCAUUUUGUGCAUUGUUUGCGCGUGUCUUGUUUCAGUGUUCUGUGCCUCAUUACAUCAAUGUUGAUGUAACGUUGUCGGAGCACAUACUUGACACAACAAUGAUGACAAAAUGGUUCUAUUCGACCCGUCUUGAAACACGGAUCAAGGAGUCUAACAGCUGUGCAAGUUUAUGGGCUGCUACACCUGCAUGCGCAAUGAAAGUGACUGCUGGGAUGAUUGCACCAGCAACCGACCAAUCAAUUGAGAGAGGUUUGAGUAUGAGCAUGUCUGUUAGGACCCGAAAGAUGGUGAACUAUGCCUGAGAAGGGUAAAUUCAGGGGAAACUCUGAUGGAGGCUCGUAGCGAUACUGACGUGCAAAUCGUUCGUCAUACUUGGGUAUAGGGGCGAAAGACUAAUCGAACCAUCUAGUAGC
rnacentral:rRNA from 1 species